rnacentral:lncRNA from 1 species
UAUGCUUGUACAAGGUUUAAUGAAGAUUAACAAGCAUUUUAAAGGAAACUCUUGCUUCUGUUAAUCCUAUACUAUAUGAUUUUGGAGUUGAUUUGGACGUAUUCAUGGUUAAAUCUGAUGAGGUGCAAGAUCGAUGGACGGCAACUUUAAAAGAAAACGUCACCAAAUGGGUUCAGGUUAGUUUCAGGUUGAUUGUGAGCCCGUUUAGCUAA